AUAGCUGUUGCAGUUAAAGCUCGUAGUUGGAUUUCGGGUGGGUUCUAGCGGUCCGCCUAUGGUGAGUACUGCUAUGGCCUAUCUUUCUGUCGGGGACGGGCUUCUGGGCUUAACUGUCCGGGACUCGGAGUCGACGUGGUUACUUUGAGUAAAUUAGAGUGUUCAAAGCAGGCUUACGCCCUGAAUACUUUAGCAUGGAAUAACACGAUAGGACUCUGGCCUAUCUUGUUGGUCUGUAGGACUGGAGUAAUGAUUAAGAGGGACAGUCGGGGGCAUUCGUAUUUCAUUGUCAGAGGUGAAAUUCUUGGAUUUAUGAAAGACGAACUACUGCGAAAGCAUUUGCCAAGGAUGUUUUCAUUAAUCAAGAACGAAAGUUGGGGGGCUCGAAGA
rnacentral:rRNA from 1 species